CACCAUCGUUCAUUACUGCAAGUCGACUAUGGCCACAGUAAAACCAUCGUUCAUUACUGAAAGUAGACUAUGGCCACAGUAAAUGACUCUUAAAGUGAGCAAUGGUUUCAUAGGAUUUCUACAUGUUCUAGUGGUUACAAUAUUGUAAAAGAAAGUCAUAUAUAUUUUACUCUUCAUUGGAUCACAUAAGUUCAUAGGAAUUUGGUCGCAGUUCUAUCGCCAUUUCAUUCCGAUCUUUUUUAUAUAUAUUUCAGUGACGUUUUGUGGUUGCUUAACCAUUGCAAAUUUAUUACAAACAUAGACGCGGCACCAAAAAGUUCCUUCGGAUAUGGAUUUUGCGUUUUCGCGUUAGAGGCACUGACUGUCGUGGAGAAAAACAUCCAAGAUACCUUUUCAGAAAACCGGAACCACCCUUUGGUAAAGCUCGUAGCUAACGAAAAGCUGAAAUCAGCUUUCAAGAAGAACAAAAGUUACAGACUAGUUUCAUCAUAUACAGAAUCCGUCCUCGUCAAGGAAGCGUGUUCAGUGAUCAUGCACGAGGCGACUGGAUGUAGUUAUAAAGAGGCCACAGAGGCUCUGCAACGAACGGUGGCCAAAAGUAUUUUCACAGCAUAUAGCCUGGCAACAACUCACCGCUCGAGCAUAAAAGAAUAUUGAUCAAGCGCCCUAGCAGAUAGACGUAAAGCCUGGUGAACACAAAGACGCUAACAUCCUGCAGAAAAGUUCAACAUGGCUGACAACACCGUACGGUCGGAAGAUGUGUAAGGACAAAAGUGGGAUCGUUGCAUUACAGACACCGGUUUACUGUUAACUGUUGAGUUAUCGAUCCGGACAGAACUUAAGUGUGCACCACUGCAGUAUGAUGACAUUUAAGUUUUAUAGACUUUCAUGCAAUAGUUACUGUCACACAGCUCCGGACAUUGAAAGUGGAAGGACGGAGAACCACACAGAAACAAUAUCGGCGAAUGAUGAUGUAUAUUUGUUUUAAGUUUCGUGAAAUAGGUACUGUGAAAUAGCUCCGGACGUACAACCUUCCUGAAUUUCAAUCUAUUAAGGGGCAAUAAAU